UGGACCUCAAAUCAGGUAGGA
rnacentral:rRNA from 1 species